UGCUUAACACAUGCAAGUCGAACGAUGAUGCUCCAGCUUUGUUGGGGUGGAUUAGUGGCGAACGGGUGAGUAACACGUGAGUAACCUGCCCUCUUCUUUGGGAUAACGGUCGGAAACGGCUGCUAAUACUGGAUAUUCACUCAUUGGCGCAUGUUGGUGGGUGGAAAGGUUUUUUCUGGUGGGGGAUGGGCUCGCGGCCUAUCAGCUUGUUGGUGGGGUGAUGGCCUACCAAGGCUUUGACGGGUAACCGGCCUGAGAGGGUGACCGGUCACAUUGGGACUGAGAUACGGCCCAGACUCCUACGGGAGGCAGCAGUGGGGAAUUUUGCACAAUGGGCGCAAGCCUGAUGCAGCGACGCCGCGUGAGGGAUGAAGGCCUUCGGGUUGUAAACCUUUUUCGCUCAUGGUCAAGCCGCAGCUUUGGGUUGUGGUGAGGGUAGUGGGUAAAGAAGCGCCGGCUAACUACGUGCCAGCAGCCGCGGUAAUACGUAGGGCGCGAGCGUUGUCCGGAAUUAUUGGGCGUAAAGGGCUUGUAGGCGGUUGGCCGCGUCUGCCGUGAAAUCCUCUGGCUUAACUGGGGGCGUGCGGUGGGUACGGGUUGACUUGAGUGCGGUAGGGGAGACUGGAAUUCCUGGUGUAGCGGUGGAAUGCGCAGAUAUCAGGAGGAACACCGGUGGCGAAGGCGGGUCUCUGGGCCGUUACUGACGCUGAGGAGCGAAAGCGUGGGGAGCGAACAGGAUUAGAUACCCUGG
rnacentral:rRNA from 1 species